AAAUCUACCCUGCAAAACAAGUUCUAUGGAAAGCGGAGAGAUUAUAGUGGAAUUCUAUUUAGCCCUAUAAAUUCUUGUUGGUAAUAUGAUAAAAAGAUAUUAAGACACCAUGAAACACGUGAAACUAUUGCUAAAUGCACUAUCUCUUCUUUCCUGUUAGUACCAUGCAGGCCAUGUAUGCACUGAAUUCUUCAAAAUUGUCCAUGGAAUUUUGUGCUAGAGAAUGGUACUCAGUUUAAAUCUGAAGAAAAAGAAAAUGGUGGGGGGGAUCAACAGUACUUACUGAAAGCAAAAGAAUUAGCAUCACUAGCAUGAGAUUCCUUGUGUUCUAUAUUUGAUAUCAGUUCUUAAAAUCUCGAGUUCGUCCUGGAGUUGUGACUGCAUUUUCAGUCUGCAUGUCAGGGGUGUCAGAAGUCAUGGGCCAGCCAAGGCCAGAAAGUCCUGUCCAAGUUUGUGAAGAGUCUGGAGUAUCACUUGAACACCUCCCAUGUUCAUUCUUAAAAACUAAAAAAGGAGCAGUGUUUGAAAGCAGUCCUGACAUGCCAGAGAUUAUCUCACUGAAGAGGAUGUGGAAUGAUCAAAAAUAAUGCUCUCCAGGUCUGUUUUUCCACAUCUUCAUAAGGAUAAGAUUUUCCCAGCAGUUGAUGGUCAACCCAAUGAUCAGCUGAAAUGUUUGAGUGACUCAAGAGAGAUAUCGAUAGUGAUAUGUACUAUAUUUCCAUUUUCAUGGUCUACUCACUGCUUCUAACAUAGGAGCUGAAAGUUGUCACUGGAAGACUAUUUCUGGACUUGAUCAACAGAAUGGUUAAGAUCCUCUCCUAAGAAGGUGGUCCUCUUACUCGCUCAAAGGCUUUAAAAUGUGGAUAUUUCUCAUCUAGCAAGCAAAACCCGUCCUUCAUUUCCAUGGAGCUGAAUGAACAAAGAUCUUUCCACUUCUGUUUGAAUCAUCUCACCAAACAUUUGAUUCACCAGAUGACUUCCCCCACAGAAGUAGCCCACUGUUUUAUCAAAACUCAGAUGCAGAAUAACAGAAAUCAGCAUUUGUUUUCCUGAAAAAAUGUCUUCUGUGCCAGCUCUUCAUUCAGCUUUCUACAUUCUGUUUUAAAAUGAAAAAUACUUUGUAAUCAGA